GUGUCAGCAGCCGCGGUAAUACGUAGGUGGCAAGCGUUGUCCGGAUUUAUUGGGCGUAAAGGGUGCGUAGGCGGUUUCUUAAGUGAGAUGUGAAAUCCCCCGGCUUAACUUGGGGGCUUCAUUUCAAACUGGAUGUCUUGAGUGCAGAAGAGGAAAGUGGAAUUCCUAGUGUAGCGGUGAAAUGCGUAGAGAUUUGGAGGAACACCAGUGGCGAAGGCGACUUUCUGGACUGAAACUGACGCUGAGGCGUGAAA
rnacentral:rRNA from 1 species